rnacentral:rRNA from 1 species
UACGGCGGUUAUAGCGCAGAGGAAACACCCGGUUACAUUCCGAACCCGGAAGUUAAGCUCUGCAGCGCCGAUGGUACUGCACUCGGGAGGGUGUGGGAGAGUAGGUCGCCGCCGGAC